rnacentral:rRNA from 1 species
AUUGAACGCUGGCGGCAUGCCUUACACAUGCAAGUCGAACGGUAACAGGUCUUUCGGGAUGCUGACGAGUGGCGAACGGGUGAGUAAUACAUCGGAACGUGCCUAGUAGUGGGGGAUAACUACUCGAAAGAGUGGCUAAUACCGCAUGAGAUCUAUGGAUGAAAGCAGGGGACCUUUGGGCCUUGUGCUACUAGAGCGGCCGAUGGCAGAUUAGGUAGUUGGUGGGAUAAAAGCUUACCAAGCCUACGAUCUGUAGCUGGUCUGAGAGGACGAUCAGCCACACUGGGACUGAGACACGGCCCAGACUCCUACGGGAGGCAGCAGUGGGGAAUUUUGGACAAUGGGCGCAAGCCUGAUCCAGCAAUGCCGCGUGCAGGAUGAAGGCCUUCGGGUUGUAAACUGCUUUUGUACGGAGCGAAAAGUCUUGGGUUAAUACCCUGGGAUCAUGACGGUACCGUAAGAAUAAGCACCGGCUAACUACGUG